rnacentral:tRNA from 2 species
GGUGGGGUGUACCGAAUUGGUAAGGUACCGAUUUCGAAAAUCGGCGCUCGUAAGGGCAUGCAGGUUCGAGUCCUGUCCCCACCG